UACGUAGGGACCAAGCGUUGUUCGGAUUUACUGGGCGUAAAGCGUGCGCAGGCGGCUUUGCAAGACAGAUGUGAAAUCCCCGGGCUUAACCUGGGAACUGCAUUUGUGACUGCAUGGCUGGAGUGCGGCAGAGGGGGAUGGAAUUCCGCGUGUAGCAGUGAAAUGCGUAGAUAUGCGGAGGAACACCGAUGGCGAAGGCAAUCCCCUGGGCCUGCACUGACGCUCAUGCACGAAAGCGUGGGGAGCAAACAGG
rnacentral:rRNA from 1 species